UUGAUGAUAUAGACAUUCUGAGAUGUCAUAGUACUAAACAUUUGGGCUGAAAACCAUCAACUGUAUCUGUUUUUGACCACUAGCAGCGUUACUGAACGUUACGUUAUCAAGCAGGUUAUCGUCUUGUUUGGAUCUCAUAGAGGAGCACGAGGCCAAAGGUUUCUCAUCGUUAAACUGCUUCAACACUUGACAGCUGUAACCAAUAAGCAAUAAUUGUGCUUUUAAAGGCCGGUGAGAAGCGACCGAAAGCUAGUAAACUCAGCCAACUCCUGAUGGGUCACCACUGCAACAAGCGAGCUGAGCGGCUAGCAUGUAGCGUUGAAGAGUGGACCUCUGUCAGAGCUUUGCCCUCCACAUCGGAAUCUGACAGAGUCUCUGAACUGUCCACCUGUAGCAGGAAAAGAAGACGUCAGUGAGCAGAGCUAUGGACGGCCUCCACUUUCUGCCCCCGCGCCCUUCGUCCUGCCCUCCCGCUUUACUCAGGACUAUGCUGUUCUGAGGCAAAGAGACCGACUUCCCCAGGCUGCCCCCGACCCUGCCGUCCCUCUCCCUG